CCCUUAGAUGUUCUGGGCCGCACGCGCGCUACACUGAUGCAUUCAACGAGUCUAAAACCUGCUCUGAUAGGGGUGGGUAAUCUUUUGAAUGUGCAUCGUGAUUGGGAUAGAUGAUUGCAAUUUUUCAUCUUCAACGAGGAAUGCCUAGUAAACGCAAGUCAUCAGCUUGCAUUGAUUACGUCCCUGCCCUUUGUACCCACCGCCCGUCGCUCCUACCGAUUGAAUGAUCCGAUGAAUAUCAUGGAUUGAGGAUGCAAGUAGGUUAGCCUAUCUUCAUCUUCGAGAAGUGAAGUAAAUCUUAUCAUUUAGAGGAAGGAGAAGUCGUAACA
rnacentral:rRNA from 1 species